GAUCAUAUGAUAUCACAUGUGUAAAAACGCCGAGGUGACGUUGGUACUAGUCUUGCAAUUUUCCAUUGAUUUUUUUACAUGUUGUCCAUACCUUUCCACAGUCCAUCAAACCAAGGAGAGUGAUUUUACUUAUUUUUGCGUAGCAAGUAUGAGUUUUGGAGCAUGAAACAGUGUGACCGUCUGACUCUCAGGGAUGUACCUGCGAAAACGAACUUAACCCACCUAGACCGCCGCUAUUUAAACAGACGAAAUCUUUGAGCUAAACCGCGAAAAAUAAUUGUUGAGUUAUGGAGCUAGGGGCAUAGGAGCAUAGUGCCCUCCUCUUCCGUCCUGCGCGACGCUUUACCUAAUCGGCUUGGACCGGCUCUAUUUGGCGACACGCUUUCUGGACACAAACUGAUAUUCCGCGAUCCCUCCUCUAGCCCCACCCGCAGGUCGCACCCUCUGGUGGCUAGGAAUUCCUCUUGCGUGCCCGCGGUCAGCGAUAUGUAUACCAUCGUUUACCAGGGGCUUCACGCUUCUGGUCUUCCGGUUCAUAUGAUCGAGUGCAAUUUGACUGCAGAAAAUAUUCUUGAUUGGCCCAUGAUAAGGACCAAAUCAAGUAUUUUUGUCUUACGGUCACAGGAAGCUGUCGCACACCAAGGUCGGACCACAAAUAACAAAGAAAUAAAAAUAUGCAUGCAUUAUGAAAUUUGCCAAAAA
rnacentral:sRNA from 1 species